rnacentral:lncRNA from 10 species
AUUUCUCCCUGCCUUUGCCUGGGCUUGUCCUGAAGCCUGCUCAUGGGAACAGCUGGAAAGAACCAUGUGCUGCCAGUCUGAGCUUUUUAUUUUGUUUUACUUAGAAAGAUAGAGACAGGGUCUUGCCAUGUUGCCCAGGCUGGUCUCGAACUCCUGGGCUCAAGUGAUCCUCCUGCCUCGGCCUUCCAAAGGGCUGGGGUUACAGGCGUGUGCCACCGCACUCAGCCGCAGCCAGUCUGUUUUCAAAGAUGGUCUUUGGGUUAAUGACAAUUCUCUCUCUGCUUACUCUCCAGGCAGUGUGGCUUUCUGAAUCCAAGGAGGCUGGGCAUAGGGAGAUGGGAUUUGUUUGCCCGGUUUGGACUCAGCAUUUUUUGUACUCGAUUUAAUAGACUCAUAAAAUGUCAAAGGUUUAAGUGAGCUUAGAGUUGAUCUGGCCCAAACCUGGCUGAUCAGAAUCUCCAGGGGAAGUUUUAUUGAAAUGCCAGAUCUCUGCGUUCUGAGAUCCUGAUUUAGUAACUCCAGGGUUGGAACCUGAGUUUUUUGUUUUUUUGUGUGUGUGUGUGAAGGCAAGGUCUUACUCUGUUGCUCUGGCUGGAGUGCAGUGGUGUGAUCACAGCUCACUGCAGCCUUGAAUUCCUGGGCCUAAGCAACCCUCUUGCCUCAGCCUUCCAAGUAGCUGGGACUCCGGGGGUACACCACUGUGCCCGGCUAAUUUUAAAUGUUUUUGUAGAGAUGGGAUCUCACUAUGUUGCCCAGGCCAGUCUCAAACUCUUGAGCUCAAGUGAUCCUCCUGCCUUAGCCUCCUAAAGUGCUGGGAUUACAGGCAUGAGCCACCGUGCCUGGCUGAUACUAGCAUUCUUUUUUAUUUUUUAUUAUUUUUUUAAGAUAGAGUCUUGCUCUGUUGCCCAGGCUGGAGUGCAGUGGCACAGUCUCAGCUCAGUGCAACCUCCGCCUCCCAGGUUCAAGCAAUUCUCCUGCCUCAGCCUCCCAAGUAGCUGGGAUAACAGGCACAUGCCACCACGCCUGCGCUUGAUCGUGGGAGGCAGAGCUUGCAUUAUUGUGCCACUCCAUUCUAGCCUGGGCAACAGAGCGAGACUCUGUCUUCCAAACAAAGCGGAAAAAGAUUAUCUGCGAGAAUGACUGCAUUGGCCCCUUGGGUGGGAGGGCUUCUCCAGGGCAAGGUGAGGGGAUGCCCAGUGCUGGGAGUGCUGCCUGGAGAGGAGUCAGUUCCAGUGGCGGGGGCCCUGGGUUUUGGCUGAGGACUGCGUGUUGGCAGCUGCUCUGCCUCUCACAGCCCUUCCCAGCUGCACACGUCGUGAGCGUCAGUGUGCAAUCACAGGCCUGCCUCCUUUGGGCCACUUUGUGACCAUGUUUUUUGCUUGUGGGGCAGGGUAAUUUCAGGAUCUAAAUUGGUGCAGUUGGAUGUUCUCAGCCCCGAGAGGCAGCUCUUCCCGUUCUAGGCUUUUUGUUUUGUUUUGUAGAAAUGGAGUCCUACGACGUUGCCCAGGCUGGUCUCAAACUCCUGGGCUCAAGUGAUCCUCCCACCUUGGCCUCCCAAUGUGCUGGGAUUACAGGCAUGAGCCACUGUGCCGUGCUGAUUUUCUUGAUACUAUUUUUUGUAGAGCUGGGGUCUUGCUGUGUUGCCCAGGCUGGUCUCGAACUCCUGGCCACAAGCCACCCUCCUGCCUCAGCCUCCCAGAGUGCUGGGAUUACAUCCCCUUCUUACCUUCUCUGUCAGAGGAGCCCCCACAGCAUGUGAGUACUGAGUCAUGCGGUCUUGUGGUUGCUGAACGGGCUCUGCUGCUCUGGUCCUAGGCUCUGUAUGUGGAUGUGAUCCGUGUGAACAGCUACUACUCUUGGUAUCGCAACUACGGGCACCUGGAGUUGAUUCAGCUGCAGCUGGCCGCCCAGUUUGAGAAUUGGUGUAAGACAUCACAAUCCCAUUAUUCAGAGCGCGUAUGGAGUGGAAACGCUUGUAGGGCUUCACCAGAUUGUAUAUAUUCCUACCAGAUGGAGAUAAUUACAGCUUUAAAAAUUUUUAUUUUUUCAUUUUAUUUCACACAUUGACAUUAAAUUUUUAUGGACACAU